UUUUUUUUUCAAGUUUGCCUUUAAUGAGAUCACCUUGGUCUCGUGACCUUGGUCAUAGAUUUAAAAGAUUAGUUCGGGUCGACUUUGAUCUUUUUUUAAAGUUUUUUUUCAAAUAUUUUUUUUGCCGGUAUUUUUUUUGCUUUGCUAUUUAUAGGGUCAUCCUAAUUUCAUGUCCUAUGUCAUGUGUUUGAUUUGUUCACCUAGGUUAGCUACCGGGAUCACUCUAGGUUUUUU
rnacentral:lncRNA from 1 species